AAAGGUGCAUGAGUGGUGUUUGGUUUGUUACGGGUGGUUGGCUCUUUGCUUGUGCAACAACUUCCACCUGGCAUACCUCUUCAGUCUUGUGUCAAUGCUUGUAUUGCAUUGAAUGCACGAUGGGUUUCUUGUGUUGCAUGCCUAAUUGAUGGUAUCAUUUGAUGAAUUGAUGUCUAUUUCGUCUUGUGUCGCACAUGCGAUGUGAGAUGAACCUUAAAGCAGCCUUUGUGAUCCACUCUUUUGAUGCACACGCAUUGAUUUUGUGGCCUAUUGAGUGUUGCUUGGUCUCAUGGAUAUGGAACCUUGUGUGGGCAUGGGAUCUUUUACUAGUUCCUUGUUUUGCCCUAGUUAAGCUUUUCAAAUACGAUUUCCUAUCAUGUC
rnacentral:misc_RNA from 1 species